UACGUAGGGUGCAAGCGUUUAAUCGGAAUUACUGGGCGUAAAGCGUGCGCAGGCGGUUUUGUAAGUCUGUCGUGAAAUCCCCGGGCUCAACCUGGGAAUUGCAUUUGUGACUGCACGGCUAGAGGUGUGUCAGAGGGGGGUAGAAUUCCACGUGUAGCAGUGAAAUGCGUAGAGAUGUGGACGGAAUGACCGAUGGCGAAGGCAGCCCCCUGGGAUAACGACUGACGCUCAUGGCAACGAAAGACCGUGGGGAGCAAACAGG
rnacentral:rRNA from 1 species